AGUGAACGCUGGCGGUAGGCCUAACACAUGCAAGUCGAACGGCAGCACAGUAAGAGCUUGCUCUUACGGGUGGCGAGUGGCGGACGGGUGAGGAAUACAUCGGAAUCUACUUUUUCGUGGGGGAUAACGUAGGGAAACUUACGCUAAUACCGCAUACGACCUACGGGUGAAAGCAGGGGAUCUUCGGACCUUGCGCGAUUGAAUGAGCCGAUGUCGGAUUAGCUAGUUGGCGGGGUAAAGGCCCACCAAGGCGACGAUCCGUAGCUGGUCUGAGAGGAUGAUCAGCCACACUGGAACUGAGACACGGUCCAGGCUCCUACGGGAGGCAGCAGUGGGGAAUAUUGGGCAAUGGGCGCAAGCCUGAUCCAGCCAUACCGCGUGGGUGAAGAAGGCCUUCGGGUUGUAAAGCCCUUUUGUUGGGAAAGAAAAGCAGCAGGUUAAUACCCCGCUGUUCUGACGGUACCCAAAGAAUAAGCACCGGCUAACUUCGUG
rnacentral:rRNA from 1 species